rnacentral:lncRNA from 1 species
UUAGAAGUUAUAGAUUGUAUUAAAAAUUUUCCAGAACCUAUUUACAAAGGUUUUACAAAUUUUCAAGAAGCAUUAGAUGUUGCAAGACAACAGAUAGGAAUAAAUUUUUAUUUAUCUCCUUCUUUGAAGAAUUACUCAGACCCUCCAUUAGAUUUUUCUCCAAGCAAAGACCAGAAUAUUUUCUGCCAACAUUGUGAAUGUAUGCAGAGAAAUUUCAAAGUUAUCAAUGAAGCCAAUCAGAACCUUUCAUUAGAAAGAACUCAACUUCAAAAGAAAGUGGCCCAAUUAGAAAAAGAGAUCUUGGAUUUAAAAGUCCAUUAUCCAACAGGUACUAUGGAGCCCAAGAAGUCCAUAGCUAGUCCAGCC